rnacentral:lncRNA from 1 species
UGGGAAGGAGGCGGCCGCCUAGCAGACAGGAGAGCCGGGUCCAGCCUCCGUGAGCAUUAAUUAACGUGUGACUCAAAUGACGGGCCUGCAGCAGUCAAGCUUUUGCCAAGGUAAGUUCAUUGAAAUCAAUACUGCAAUCUGUACUGAAAUCUACCUGGGGAGGAAUAUCUGGUCAUAAAGAAUCUUCUUUCAUGUGACCUUGAUGUGUAAUAAAUAGGUUUUUUCUCUUUCUUCCCACAAGGGUCAAAGAGUGAUUGAGUUAUUGAACAAAAUGGAUUAGCUAAUGCAAAUUAAAAUAAAUUGUCUAGAAAUUAAGCCAGUCCUAAACCCUUGCCCCAGAGAAGAGAUCGCUCAUAGGGCUCCUUUAUACAUGAGUUGUGUAAAGUGCUUGUUACUGUUCAUGGCAUGUGCUCAGUAUAUGACAGUUACUAUUAUGUGGUAAUAAUAGUAGCCUGAGAUCACCCCAAUUAGUAGGUAAUGACUAACUAAUAUAAAUGAAGUUUCUACUGGUCAUAAGCACAUGGCUAUGUAUGUUGCAUCACAUACUCAUAGCUCCACCAACCUGGCAAGAGGGAUGUACACAUCAGGAUUAUUUUAGGACAGCAGGACCCCCCACCUCCCUUUCUUCCUUCCUAAGCCUGGAGAUGAGCAGCCCCUGAAGCAUUUGGUUAAAUACAAGUGAACUUCUGCACUCAGAGUUCUGUUAGGAAGGAGACAGGAGAUAUUGUUACCGAGUGGAAGCUCAUAUUGGCUCACUGCGGUGGCCAAUAAAUCCAGAGAGGAGGUGUUGGGGCAAGGAAUAGCAGCUUUAUUCAGAAAGGCAGCAGACCCAUAAGAUAGUGGACUUCUGUCCCAAAGGGUGAUCUUACUGGUUAGAAUUCAGGCUGCUUUUAUACUAAAAGGGUGAGGCGGAAUGUGUGUUUGGGGUGGCUGGUUGCUGCCAACGUCUUGAUGCACAAAUCCUUGUUCGUGCAGCUGUCCAGGUAGGACUGGUCACAGUUUUUUAUUUUCUGUUCGGCAACUUUUUAUCUCUAUAUGAAGGGGAAAAAGUGUCAAAACAUGGAGAAGGAACUGUCAGGUAUAUUUCAGGCUCUAGGCAACAUUCUUUUUGUACAAAAGGUGGAGAGUUGGCAUGAUUAAGCACAGGCAGCAGUGCACAAGGAUUAGAGUUAAAGGACUGGAUCCAGUAUGGAGUCAGGUUUGCUCUUUGUUAUAAUAUGGCUACCAGACAGCAACUAACAGUGUCUAUCCUUACAGUUCUUAGCUUUUCCACCUCUUUUUCUGCUCCUCCUAGCGAAUUCCAUAGCCAUAUGGUUCUGAAUUUAGUAUAUGUGUGAUGAAGUGAGCAUUGAAUUUCCAUACGGAAAUAUUUUCUCUUCUGUAUGUAUACUCCGUGCUCUUUUAUGAUUUUAGACUUUCAUAUUUGUUCUUGCUUCUGCUUAUCAUUCUUCUGCCUUUCUCAUUGUAUGUCAUCAUCAUGAUUUAACCAGUGUCCUUUCACCCAUUUAUUCAUUCCAUCUACAGCUCACAAAUAUCCAAAUAUCCGUUAAAAGUCAGGCAUAUAGAAAUUAUGACAGCAAGGAUCGAACCUGCAACCUCAUGGUUCCUAGUGGGAUUCGUUAACCACUGCACCACGACGGGAACUCCUUGUAGCCUACAUUUCAAGAGACCCUUCCUCUCCUGCUACUAAUGAUCGUCUGUGAAAUAAUUACAUGACCUUCACUGUCCCAGCAGAUAACUGGUGAAAGUUCAGAAGAGCCAUCUAGCUGACCAGUCCCUGAACAUGGACACAUGCCGACACCAGAGCCACAGCAACGCGGGAUCUGAGCCGCAUCUGCGACCUACACCACAGCUCACGGCAACACCAGAUCCUUAACCCACUGCGUGAGGCCAGGGAUCCAACCCAAAACCUCAUGGUUCCUAGUCGGAUUCAUUAACCACUGAGCCACGACAGGAAAUCCUUCUUUCUUUUAAAUUUUUUAAGAUUUUUAUUUUUUCUCUAUUAUAAUUGAUUUGCAAUGUUCUUUCAAUUUCUGCUAUAUAGCUAAGUGACCUAGUCAUAUAUAUAUUCUUCUCACAUUAUCCUCCAUCAUGGUCUGUCACAAGUGACUAGAUAUAGUUCCCUGUGCUAAACAGGAUUCUCAUUGCUCAUCCACUCCGUUGCAUAUGUUUGCAUCUACUAACCCCAAACACCCAGUCCAUUCCACUCCCUCCACCUCCCCCUUGGCAACCACAAGUCUGUUCUCCAAGUCCAUGAGUUUGUUUCUUUUCUGAAGAUAGGUUUUUUUGUGCCAUAUAUUAGAUUCUAGAUAUAAGUGAUAUCAUAUAGUCUUUCUCUUUCUGACUUACUUCACCUAGUGUGAGAUUCUUUAGUUCCAGCCAUGUUCCUGCAAAUGGCAUUAUUUUGUUCUUUAUGGCUGAGUAAAAAAGUAUUUUUUUUCCCACUGUGUAUAUAUACCACAUCUUCUUAAUCCAUUCAUCUGUCAAUGGACAUUUAGGUUGUUUCCAUGUCUUGGCUAUUGUGAAGAGUGCUGCAGUGAACAUGCAGGUGCAUGUAUCUUUUUCAAUGAAAGCUUUGUCUGGAUAUAUGCCCAAGUGUGGGAUUGCUGGCUCACAUGGUAGUUCUAUAUUUAGUUUUCUAACAUACCUCCAUACUGUUUUCCAUAGUACCAUGAAUUUCUAAACUAUGAGAAUUCCUUUAGGUAUUGGAUUAUUCAUAUUUUAUAUUUAUGUGUAUUUUUAUAAUAUUGCCUUUCUGGCUGAGAUAGGUAUCUUAAAAAUAUUGGGUAAUCUCUAAGUCAUCUCAAGAGCUCUCAUAUUUAUUAGAAUAAAUGUAAACACAUAAUCAUAGUUUUGUAAAAUAUUAAUUUUAUGCAUGACAGACUCAAGUAAAGCUCCUCAACUGUGUGCCCUGGCACUCUCUUCAACACAUAUUGAUUAUAGGUUCACCAGCAUAUUGAUCCUCCGAUUGAAUGGAGGGCCUGACAGCCAGGGUUCCAGGUCAGUGCUGGAGCCCAUGUCAGCACUUUAGCUAUUUACACAAUAUGCUGGGUAAAUUGUGUCAUAUUCUACAUGGGCUGUCAGAAAAAAACUUUUUGGAAACACUAAUUCCCAAGCUUUAGUAUGCAUAAGGCUCACCUGAGAAACUUGUUUAAAGAGAGCCUCCAUUCCUAGAAUUUCUGAUUCAGUCAAUGGGCAGGUGAGACCAGAAAUAUAUAUUACUAGGAAGCACCUCAGAUAUUUCUUUUUUUUUUUUUUUUUUUUGCCUUUUUUCCUAGGGCCGCUCCCACACCAUAUGGAGGUUCCCAGGCUAGGGGUCUAAUCGGAGCUGUAGCUGCCAGCCUAUGCCAGAGCCACAGCAACGCGGGAUCCAAGCCGCGUCUGCAACCUACACCACAGCUCACAGCAAUGCUGGAUCCCUAACCCACUGAGCAAGGCCAGGGAUCGAACCUGCAACGUCAUGAUUCCUAGUUGGAUUCGUUAACCACUGCGCCACAACAGGAACUCCCCCAAAGCACCUCAGAUAUUUCUGAGGCACACAGUGAAAGGACUUAUGUUAUAAAGGACUUGAAUUUUUUUGGGGGGGGGGCACACCUGCAUAUGGAAGUUCCCAGGCUAGGGGUGGAAUCAGACCUGCAGCUGCCGGCCUACGCCACAGCCAUGGCAACGCCAGAUCCGAGCCACAUCUUCGAUCUACACCACAGCUCACGAUAACACCAGAUCCUUAAUCCACUGUGUGAGGUCAGGGAUCAAACCCACAUCCUCAUGGAUACUAGUCGGGCUCCUUACCACUGAGCCACAAGGGGAACUUCCAGGACUUCCUCUUUAAAAAUCAUUUUUGAUUAAUAGUCUCCAUUAACAGGAGAAAGGGAAACUUCCCCCCCCCCCCCCUUAGCAGCUUCUUUAUAGAUGUGAGAGCAUCCCAGGAGUUCUCUUUGAAUUUUUACUCCCUAGAUGAUUUACUUCUAGUGUCAUGGUUUUAAAUACCACCUAUAUGCUGGUGACUCCAAAGUUUAUACCUCCCAUCUGGACUUCUCCAGUGAACUCUGAACUUGAUUCUUUUAUUUACUGCUUGUCAUCACCAUUUGGAUUUACAACAAGUAGCUUAAAUUUGACAGGUCCAAAGCUGAAUCUUCUCCCCUAGAAGUUCCCAUUUUAAUCAAUGGCAUCUCCAUUCUACAUUCUCAGUUGUUCUGGCCAGAAGUCUUAGUGUCAUUCUUGUCAUCAUUCUCCCCACCCACCUCCAAAACAUCAGAACAGUCCCCACCUUUACCUUCAAAAUAUAAAGUCUUUACAAAGUCCUAAGUGUCCCAUCUUUUCCACUGCUACCUCCAGUCUAACCCACCACGCUUUCUCAUCUAGACCAUUGCAGUUGCCCCCUUUUUCCACUCCUGCCCCACUGACAAUGGAAUCUCUACACAGCAUCCAAAGUGAGUCCUCUGGACUGAAAGUCUGCAUCACCCCACAUGCAUAUAUUAAAACCUAGUCAUGAAUGAGAUCAAAUGUUCUCUGCUCAUGAAUGAGAUCAAAUGUUUCCGCUUCCUCCAGGUGAGGACACAGCAAAACACCACCAGACACUGAAUCUGCUGGCCCCUUGAUCUUGGAUUUGCCAGCCUUCAGAACCAUGAUAUACAAAUUCCUGUUUGUUAUAAGCCACCCAGUCUAUGGUAUUUUUGCUCUAGCAGCCAGAAUGGACUAAGACAGGGAGGCUUUUAAAAAUCUAAGUUCCAUCCCCUUAGUCCUCCAUGCCACCCUUCCAAGGGCUGCCAUCUCACUCAGGGUAGGACCAGAGAUUCAUCAUAGUCUAUGAAAUGGUCUAUAUUUUUUCUUUUUCCACCAUCCCCUCCAUUCUCUCCCUCCCUCACACCUCUCCCGACAGACUCAUUUAUUUUUCAUUUAAACAAUUUAAAAAAUAGUCAUGCUUCUUUAUUGUCCAUUUAAUACUGCAAGCAGGCACCCACCUGAGGAACUUUGCACUCCCUCUUUCCUCAGUUAAUGAGGUUUAAUGUGACUUAAUCCUCAUUUCCUCCAGAUCUUUGGUCAAACGUCACCUUCUCAGAAGGAAACUUCUCUAACCACACCCCCACCACUCUCUACUCCCCUUACCCUGUUUUUGGUCCCAGCUAUGCAUCACUUGACAUUAACUUUUUCCUUGUCUACCUCUCUUCAAAAGACUCCAUGAGAGCAGGAAAUCUAUCUGUACCUAUAUUAUUCAUUGCCAUUUUCCCAGAAUGUAGAACCAUGUUUAGCUCCGAAGAGAAACUCAGUGUUUCCAUCAGUAAGUGAAUAUAUUGAUAUCAUUUAUAUGCGAAGUCUAAAAUAAAUGAAUCUGUCUACAACACAGAAACAGACACACAGACAUAGAGAACAGACUUGUCGUUCCCAAGAGGGAGGGGGAGAGGAGGAGGGAAUGGGAUGGACUGGGAGUUUGGGGUUAGUAGAUGCAAACAACUAUGUCUAGAAUGGAUAAGCAAUGAGGCCCUGCUGCAUAGCAUGGGGAACUCUAUCCAAUCCCUUGGGAUAGAACAUGAUGGAAGAUAAUAUAAAAAAGGGAAAGUAUAUAUAUGUAUGGCUGGGUCACUUUGUGCACAGCAGAAGUUGGUACAACAUAGUAAAUCAACCAUACUUGAAUAAAAAAAUAAGUGCAUACAUGAAAAUAUAAUGUAAAAUAGAUGUUCAGUGACUAUUAGAGUAUCAUUUAGUCACUUAUUGAAAAAACUAUUAGAAAGAACCUGUCUCACCAUGCACACGAUAUCACAGGUGACCUGUGGAAUGAACAAAUAUUAAGAUAAAUUAACACAUUUUCUGAGCAAUACUGAGAGUAACUAGGAAAUAUUAACCAUGGUUUACAGAGAGCUUUGUAUUGUACUAUAGGAUCCUCACAAGUAUACAGACAAGGAUGAGUAAUAUCCCUUUUUACAGAUGAGGAAGUGUUACCAGAGGGUUAACGUUCCUCCUCUUUGCUCAAACAAAAUUAUAGGGCAGGGUAAUAGCAGGUGAGAUUUACUGUGCUUUCGUGACAUGCCUGGCUUUGCAUAAGUGGUUCUCAGACAUUAGGUCAAUGAAAUGCAUAGAAACCCUUGCUGGAACCUGCUGUCAUCACGUUGUGGCUGGAAAGGAAAACUGAGGUUGAAUUACAGUUCGCUAAGGUACGAUUCAAAAGUGGGCAGUCUGGAGUUCCUGCUGUGGCUCAGUGGUUAAAGAAUCCGACUAGGAACUAUGGGGUUGCGGGUUCGUUCCCUGGCCUUGCUCAGUGGGUUAAGGAUCCGGCGUUGCCGUGAGCUGUGGUGUAGUUUGCAGACGCGGCUCGGAUCCCACAUUGCUGUGGCUCUAGUGUAGGCUGGUGGCUACAGCCCCGAUUCGACCCCUAGCCUGGGAACCUCCAUAUGCCGCGGAGCGGCCCAAGAAACAGCAAAAAAGAAACAGGAGUUCCUGUUGUGGCUCAGCCGGUAACGAACCCAACUAGUAUCCAUGAGGUUACCAGUUCGAUCUCUGACCUCCCCCAGGGGAUUAAGGAUCUAACGUUGCCUGGAGCUGUGGUGUAGGUCGCAGGCACAGCUCGGAUUUGGCUGUGGCUGUGGCCGGCAGCUGCAGCUCCGAUUUGACCCCA